GGGGGGAGCGCCAGAUCCUGGGCCGUGUCCCCCAGCACCCUGGGCUCCGGGCCUGCGCUACUGGGAUCGUGCUCUGGCCGCGCAGCCCCCU
rnacentral:pre_miRNA from 1 species